rnacentral:tRNA from 1 species
GAGGGUAUGGCUCAAGUGGUAGAGCGCAUGCUUAGUAUGCACAAGGUCCUGGGUUCAAUCCCCAGGACCUCUA